UUUAUGAAAUAAUUCAUUUAGAGUUAUACAGGAAGAGGAGUGAUUUUUACAUAUUGCAGCAGAACUUUACAUGUAGGCCUAUUUGGAAAAGUGGACACUGGACAGUCAUAGACUGCAUCCACCUUUCAUGUUUUGAGUCUGGAAAAAGUAUACAUGUAAGUGCCGGAAGCGUUUACGUAUCGAUCGAAUGUAACAGUCAAGUUAUUUACACAACUUUAACAUUAAAGAGAAGAUGCCUUGGACAAUGCUUUCCAGUCGGUUAUGGUUGGAAUGAGUGAUCAUGGUGCUACCAAACGUUUCCUAGACAACAUUAAGAUAUAAAACUUAUACGGUACCACUUUUGAUGCACCAGAUGCGCAUUUCGACAAAUAAUGUCUCUUCAGUGAUAUGAUAGAUGGAUGUAUUAGCAUUGACCUCCACCACUUUUUAAAAUUCUUUGAAAAUGCUUUAAAGAGAUUCGCACUUGAGAUUUGGAGUCAUGUACCUGGUAAACUUUUUGGUGGAGUGCAUUUUUUAUUUCUAUUUUGAAGGAGAAUUACGAAAUUAAAAACAAAAGUUGGGGUCGCAAUGUUUGCUAUUGAUCUACAGUGUUGUUAACAUGACUUCUUUGCAAUUAGAAUUGACUCGUGAUUUAUUCAAUCAAACUUGAUUUGUUUGUUGGUAUCAAUACAAGAUAAGCAACACAAAUCAAUCAUUACAUAAAAUAGAUACAUAAUCAUCUCUUCUAACGAUACAGAUUAAAAAAUGAUUAAUACAAGUUAUGGAAAUGGAUAAUGGCCUUUUGCACUUGUUGUAUAAGAUAUCAUGAUAUCAAAUUUAAGAGUUUAAAAGGACAUAUUGGGAGUAAUGUCAAUUUCUAAAAGUUCACAUGAUUUCAAGUUCUUGUUUUAGAAUUUAGAAUGGAACUUAAAAGUGGGGGUUAGAGAUUUAAAAAAUGAAAUUAUUGGCAAAAUUACUGAAUUUUAUACAAACUUUUGAGUAAAUUACUUUAAACUUUUAAAAUAAAAAUUGGUGUUCUGUUUGGAAAAAUAUAUCAACCAAAUUAAUAAAUUACAACAUUUUAACUAGUUCCAAGUCUCAACUACUUGCAUCAUAGAUAAUUGAAUUGAAUUGCACGUAUACGAGUAUAAAAAUAGAAAAUAUAUUAGAUGAAACAGAAAUUGUAAUAUCAUGCAGAUUUAGAACGUUUUGAUUAAUGAAUCCUUCAGCCCCAAAAUAUAGUCCCCGCCAAACCCUUUGAAAAUUGUAAUUGACACAAAAGUUUUCAACGGGAUAGGGUUCAGUAAUAGAUGUGUAAUAUGUUUGCACCAAAGGGGUCAUAAUUGAACCAGUAAAUAUGUAGUUGUAGCAUGAAUUGUGAAGAUAACAGUGAUCAAUAUCAUAACUCCUAUAAGCAAUACAAAAAAAAAAAAAAGAAAAGAAAAAAAAAAAAAGAGAGAGAUUCUCGUUUUAACCCCUUCUCUACCGUACCGGUCAAUUUGACCGGGUGGCGCGUAAAAACGGGACAGCGCAAAAGGAAUGCCUCUAAAUCUUUCAAACUACGGUCAUAAGAUAUAUGAUCUAUAUAUCAUAUUUUUGGAAAUUUUCUCUACUUUUUAACUAUGUAAAAAUCAGUUAAGUAAAUAAAGCUAUUAAAUUAAUAAAAGCAUUUAAAGCGAAAGAUGGCUUCGUCUAAAUAUGACGCAACUCUUUGUCGCAAGGCCAUUUUCUCCCUCGAUACGAUUUUUUUAAUCUCCCGUAUGAAUGCACUAUUUUUUUUAAUAUUUUUGAAAACCAUAUAUUCCCUGCUUUCAGAACAUAUAAAAAUUAUUUCUAAUACCUGGCAAAGUUAUAAGAAAAUAGCUAUUUUUUUGUACAUGUACGCUUUCUUACAAUUUUAUUUCUCAAUGUUUAAACAGAUCGGCGUUUUACCAAUAUUCAUAUAUGGAAAUAGGGAAAAGUAAAUACAGCCUGUAAAAGUACAGGAAAUUUUCUUUUUGAUGGGCCCUUAUUCGUGUUGUAAUUCUUGUUAAUUUUUAUAUUACGAUAAAAUGAAAUUGGGACAUGCUGCGCGGUUUUCUUUAAAAUUAGCGAUAAAACGUCGGUGCUGAAAGCGAUCGACACGCAUCGCACAAUAAAGUAGUGAAACUAUUUGUAUUGUCCUCUGUUGGUAAUAUGAAUACUUUUUGAUACACUAAAACAAUAUACAUAUAUGUAUGAAAUAAUCAGCCAGGUAUUCUCUGCUUUUAAAAAAAAAGAAAUAUAAAAACCAUUAUUGGUAAAUAACAGUUACACCACCUACUUGUAUUGUAACUUCAUAAAACACCUAAUGAGAAUGUUACAUCGGUAGAGUGAAUUAAAAAAAAAAAUACUUCAAAUUCAAAUAUAUACGUUAUGUAAUAUUUAUUCGGUAUAGAAAUAAUUUUUUCUGCCAAACAAAGAAAACAAAAAGACCAAUCUGCAUAUUGUAUAUAUAAUACUUUCCUCCCCGUGAUCCGGAUCGCGGCCGCGGGGUUUUCUGAAAGUGUCCACGGGCAACACACGUGUUUCCGUUUCAACGAAAACAACAACACAACAAACGCUUGUAUUGUAUUUUACAUCUUGAAAACGACCUGAUGUCAGAUGAAGAAGUCUGAAGAUAACUUGGAUAUCCUGUUGCAGGAUGACCCAAACGAUCAUGCAUUCAGUAUAAACAUGUUAUUGACAUCCCAAUAUUUAGUGGGAAGCUUCCAGGUAUCUUCCACUAGUGACAGUCUACUGGCAAAUCCAGACAUGCAUUGGAAAUAUGUUGAUGUGGAGGACACAGGGGUACCUGAUCCAAGAACUGUGGCAUUUCAUUCGGAGUGACAACCUGGCAUGCAGUUGAUAUGGGACCUGAUUAUUCAGAGAAUUGCAGAUUUUAUGAAGCUGUUUUUGACAGAAGAUUUGGUUUUCUCCAUCUGUGUUGCCUCCAACCAUUAUGCUGUGGUGGUCAUAUCUAGGGGGAAGGAUUGUCAUAUGCUUCCCAAGGAAGUUCGAAGCCUCUCACUGAAGAGGAACUGUACAGAUUUUUGGGCAUUAUCUUAUACAUGUCUGCUGAGAAGUUCCAGUCGAUAGACAGAUAUUGGACAACGCAUGCCCCUAUCGGAACAACCUAGUAUCAAGAAUUAUGUCUAGAAAUAUGUUUUAAGAGGUUGAAGAUAAGAAGAACAAUUUUUAUUAAAUAUAAUGCAAGUACAUUCAAAUUUAGUGAUUGAAAGUAAGUACUUGAACAUUCGUAUACAUGUACAAUGAACUUGGGGAGGAAAAACAGGCAUUAUUUUCGCAUAGCAUUUGAUAUCAUAAUGGUGUUGUUGCUUAGCAACCAAAUAUAUUUGAAUAUUAAAAAAUUGAUUUUUUUUUUUAGAUUUUAACAGGAAAGAUCUUUGUUUUAAUGUUGCAAUAUUUAUACUAUUUAGUGGGAUACAAUGGCAAAACGUCAUAUUAUUAGAAAAUGAUGAAUAUGUAUAUGAAGUACGAAAUUUUCAUUUUAUCACCUUUGACCUUAAUUCUCUUCAUUAUAUUUUUUGUUAAAAAACCUUUUAAAAUGAUUAAGAUCUAGUCAAAGAUUAUAUUUUUAAAAUAAUGUGACAUUUACUAAUCAUCAUGUAAUGUAAUUAUGCUUGAAUUGUGUCGAAUGGAUGUAGAAUGGCAAAUUAUGGUCAAAAUUACACCAUGAGUGUUGUUACUUAGCAACCAAAAAUAUUUGUUUGUCAAUAAAAUUGAUUAAUUUGA